AGGGUGAGAGCCCCGUCG
rnacentral:siRNA from 1 species